GGACCCGCACAAGCAGUGGAGCAUGUGGUUUAAUUCGAAGAUACGCGCAGAACCUUACCAACACUUGACAUGUUCGUCGCGACUUUAAAGAGAUUAAAGUUUUCGGUUCGGCCGGACGAAACACAGGUGCUGCAUGGCUGUCGUCAGCUCGUGUCGUGAGAUGUUGGGUUAAGUCCCGCAACGAGCGCAACCCUCACUUUUAGUUGCCAUCAUUAGGUUGGGCACUCUGAAAGAACUGCCAGUGAUAAGCUGGAGGAAGGUGGGGAUGACGUCAAGUCCUCAUCGGCCCUUACGUGUUGGGCUACACACGUGCUACAAUGGUAUCUACAACAGGAAGCAAGACUGCGAAGUUUAGCAAAUCCUUAAAAGAUACCUCAGUUCGGAUUGCACUCUGCAACUCGAGUGCAUGAAGCUGGAAUUACUAGUAAUCG
rnacentral:rRNA from 1 species